UCUUUCCUCAUGUCGUCGAGUAUCUCUGGAAUGGAAAAUACUAGCCCAACGGAACCGAAUGAAGGCAAUCGUGUCGUAGAUAAUGCAACACGGGAUUAAAAACAGCACCGGGAUCCAGGGGCACUUAACCACCAACCACGAAAGCAUCCCAUGCAAGCUCAUCUUGAGGCCAACUCAGUGUCCGGAGCCGUUUCCUUUCAAUAUGGCUCCCAAGCAGUCCUUGAUUUCGAAGACGUCAGCUUCAAAGUCGGUUCAGGUACACCAACCACCUAUGCCAAUGGUACACUAACACACGUGCACUCCACCGUCCAUGGAUAGUGAGAAUGAUGUGUCGUCAGGUGGAAAUGCUAAGGGCCCAUCGUGUAUGAACGUUAUAUGAGCCAACCAUCAGAGCCAAGUUCGGGAGUUGAAGAAAAAAAAAUCUCUCUUUACCUGGCUUUGUAAGGACCUACUAUGGCCGGUGAGGGCUUAAGUCUGUCUUGUAUCGCAUGAGAGAUUCACACCUGACGCGAUUUGUUUGUCCACACAUUUUUGAUAGGCAACCGUUGCUAUCAAGAGGACUCCUUUCCUAAUAUCUCAUUUUUAUAUAAGUCA